rnacentral:rRNA from 1 species
CUAUGACGGGUAUCCGGCCUGAGAGGGUGAUCGGACACACUGGAACUGAGACACGGUCCAGACUCCUACGGGAGGCAGCAGUAGGGAAUAUUGCUCAAUGGGCGCAAGCCUGAAGCAGCAACGCCGCGUGGAGGAUGAAGGUUUUCGGAUUGUAAACUCCUUUUGUUAGAGAAGAUAAUGACGGUAUCUAACGAAUAAGCACCGGCUAACUCCGUGCCAGCAGCCGCGGUAAUACGGAGGGUGCAAGCGUUACUCGGAAUCACUGGGCGUAAAGAGCGCGUAGGCGGGAUUGUAAGUCAGAUGUGAAAUCCUAUGGCUUAACCAUAGAACUGCAUUUGAAACUACAACCCUAGAGUGUGGGAGAGGUAGGUGGAAU